CAACAACCUGCAACAAAACAAGAAAAAACAGGAAAAAGGAAGAGGCAGCAAGUCCUGACUAGGCCUUACCCCAAAUUUCCACCGUGUCCUGAACAGCGGCUGCCAAUUCCAGGCGGGUCUGUUUGUGAGGCAGGAUAUGACCUUUUGUAGCCGAUCUGGACGCGGGGGAAACUGGGGGUAACCCGAUCGUAGCUGAUCGUAACCAUUCAAGUUAACGUGUCAAUUUACACCGACUUCUUUCCGUUCCUCUGCGGAUCGCCGGACUCCUCAGCUGAUCACAAGAGUUCUAUUUUUUCUGGACGCCGGAGCAUGGCGGAUAAAUUCAGCACAGAUUAACCCGUGCUGGAAAGGAAGUCGGGCACAGACACAAAAUAAAACAUCCGGCUUCUUUUCAAAAUAAAACACUCCGUGUUUCAGGAGGAUCGUAUUUCACACCAUGCAAACGGGCGGAGACGAACAAGUGAAAGGUUUUUAGACGUCAUUUCACCCCGAUGACACCAUGGAUGAGGAGAUGCUGAUUCUAGAAGUCUAGAAGUAGAUUUCCUCCUCUGGAAGGACACAAUCUACUGCUUAUAUGUCUAUGUGUCUGUCUUUAGAGAGACAACUCGUUAUCACGUGAUUGCAUGUGAAUCUGCGGGUUCUUGUGAGUUCUCGUGAUUCCUACUGUCAGUAAUCCGCCACGAAAUUCGCCUCAAAAAC